CCAGCCUUCCUGCUUACAGGGGUUAGACCUGAACAAUCAGAUACCCAGAAGGGCUGUUAGGCAUAAGCAGACAAACCAAUUGCUUAGGGCCCCAAGCGGCUCAAAGGAGCACCCUAUUAAUUAUUAGCAUUUAGUAUGUGGAGAGUGGGGCCCAGAAAUAUUCCUGCUUAGGCCCUCCAGUGGGCUAGCAUCAGCACUGCAGGAACCCAACAGGUCUACCUUGUGAAUUACUACAAGGGACUUUUCGCAACAAAUCAGAAACACAUCAACCUUUAUGUCCAUCCACAAAAGGCGUGAUUUUCAAAGGUGCUGAUCACCUGAAGAUUAUACUGGAUAAGGUGAAAAUCUGAGUACUCAGUGGUUCUAUAAAUCAGAUCCAUAGAGGCAAAAUCCUGCCUCCCUCCAGUUGGUGCAAUUCUAGUAUGGGAGAAACAGGAGGAUACAACCUGUCAGAGAGUUUUCAGGGAAUUUGCACCCCCUGAAUGCUGAAGAGAGAGGCUCAGUGAGGCUCGCUGUUCCUGUGUGACAAGAGGAUGGGGUCUAUGGAUCUGAAUUCACAAGCCAUCCCCACCCACCUUGCAAAUGAGUCCUCAUAACGUGGAACCUACUUCAGCCCUGAUCUACAGAGGAGCUCUGCAGGCUGCAGUGGGGGAAGAGGAGAUCUUAUGUGUCAUUCUAGUGGAGCAUCUGCAUGCAUAGGCCAUAUAUGUUCAACUGAGAGUAGAACUGGGCCCAGUAUGUUCAGCUGCUGGAUGGGAAGUGAAGAGAGAGGAGGAACUUGGUGAACAGCACCUCCAGCUGACACAGGCCCAGCACUGGACCUUUCCAGCAGGAUGAGAAACUGCACAUGGAAAGGGCACAGACAGAAAGAGAUGUGUAUUGUCCCCACAAUAAUCCCCUGGGGAUUCCACAGCAAAGUUAAUACUGACCAAGUCGAUCUCCAUGUUUAUGGAUAUGUCCCUUGCAAGGAGGACUCUCUAUCUUUAGAGGAAUUCUGAGGGGAAUGACUGGCUGGACAAUUUCAACACAGCUGCGUUGCCAUGGCCCAAGAAAUGUAAGUCUCCAAGAUAGUGUUCCUCCAGACAACUACAGAGAUUGUAGGUUUUGGAGCUCAACCUGUUGCUUAUUCUACAAAGGCCAUCAUCAAUACAGAGGAAAUUUCCCCGCACAUCCGCUAUAGUGGAUGAUCCAAGCCAUGGUGCCUGGAAAUGAAUGUAGCCCGCAUUCCAGCCCAUCAAUGGACCAGAAAUCUGGGUCUACAACUGAAACUAAUACAUAGGUAAGGUUUCUGACCUUGGAAAAUACUUACUACUGACUACUGACAUUGCUGUCUACCAUUUGUCAUCUGAUCUGAG